UACGUAGGGUGGCGAGCGUUGUCCGGAAUUAUUGGGCGUGAAAGAGCUUGUAGGCGGUUUGUCGCGUCUGCUGUGAAAUCCGAGGCUCAACCUCGGACUUGCAGUGGGUACGGGCAGACUAGAGUGUGGUAGGGGAGACUGGAAUUCCUGGUGUAGCGGUGGAAUGCGCAGAUAUCAGGAGGAACACCGAUGGCGAAGGCAGGUCUCUGGGCCACUACUGACGCUG
rnacentral:rRNA from 1 species